AUUGAACGCUGGCGGCAGGCCUAACACAUGCAAGUCGAGCGGAGCGGCGGACGGGGGAGUAAGGCCUAGGAAUCUGCAUGGGGGUGGGGGAUAACGUAGGGGAACGGGCGCUAAUGACGCAGACUAUCAGAGGAGCCUAGGUCGGAUUAGCUAGUUGGUGGGGUAAAGGCUUACCAAGGCGACGAGCCGUCACCGGUCUGAGAGGAUGAUCAGUCACACUGGAACUGAGACACGGUCCAGACUCCUACGGGAGGCAGCAGUGGGGAAUAUUGGACAAUGGGCGAAAGCCUGAUCCAGCCAUGCCGCGUGUGUGAAGAAGGUCUUCGGAUUGUAAAGCACUUUAAGUUGGGAGGCGUUACCAACAGAAUAAGCACCGGCUAACUUCGUGCCAGCAGCCGCGGUAAUAC
rnacentral:rRNA from 1 species